rnacentral:misc_RNA from 1 species
GAUGAAGAACGCAGCGAAAUGCGAUAAGUAAUGUGAAUUGCAGAAUUCAGUGAAUCAUCGAGUUUUUGAACGCAUAUUGCGCCCUCUGGUAUUCCGGGGGGCAUGCCUGUUCGAGCGUCAUUAAAUAACCCUCAAGCAUAGCUUGGUGUUGGGCUUUUUUACGUCCUUGACUGGGAUGGGCCUAAAAAUUAGUGGCGAUGGCUUUUUUACUUUCAAGCGUAGUAAAUCUCGUCUUGCUAAAGAGGAAAAAGAUUUUUUUUCUGCCAAAAAUUUUAACAUUUAAAGUUGACCUCGGAUCAGGUAGGAUUACCCGCUGAACUUAAGCAUAUCAAUACGCGGAGGA